GUGGGGAAUUUUGGACAAUGGGCGCAAGCCUGAUCCAGCAAUGCCGCGUGCAGGAAGAAGGCCUUCGGGUUGUAAACUGCUUUUGUACGGAACGAAACGGUCCGGGUUAAUACCCUGGGCUAAUGACGGUACCGUAAGAAUAAGCACCGGCUAACUACGUGCCAGCAGCCGCGGUAAUACGUAGGGUGCAAGCGUUAAUAGGAAUUACUGGGCGUAAAGCGUGCGCAGGCGGUGAUAUAAGACAGAUGUGAAAUCCCCGGGCUCAACCUGGGAAAUGCAUGUGUGACUGCAAGGCUGGAGUGCGGCAGAGGGGGAUGGAAUUCCGCGUGUAGCAGUGAAAUGCGUAGUUAUGCGGAGGAACACCGAUGGCGAAGGCAAUCCCCUGGGCCUGCACUGACGCUCAUGCACGAAAGCGUGGGGAGCAAACAGGAUUAGAAACCCGUGUAGUCC
rnacentral:rRNA from 1 species